AACGGCAGCACAGUAAGAGCUUGCUCUUAUGGGUGGCGAGUGGCGGACGGGUGAGGAAUACAUCGGAAUCUACUCUGUCGUGGGGGAUAACGUAGGGAAACUUACGCUAAUACCGCAUACGACCUACGGGUGAAAGCAGGGGAUCUUCGGACCUUGCGCGAUUGAAUGAGCCGAUGUCGGAUUAGCUAGUUGGCGGGGUAAAGGCCCACCAAGGCGACGAUCCGUAGCUGGUCUGAGAGGAUGAUCAGCCACACUGGAACUGAGACACGGUCCAGACUCCUACGGGAGGCAGCAGUGGGGAAUAUUGGACAAUGGGCGCAAGCCUGAUCCAGCCAUACCGCGUGGGUGAAGAAGGCCUUCGGGUUGUAAAGCCCUUUAGUAGGGAAAGAAAUCCAGCCGGCUAAUACCUGGUUGGGAUGACGGUACCCAAAGAAUAAGCACCGGCUAACUUCGUGCCAGCAGCCGCGGUAAUACGAAGGGUGCAAGCGUUACUCGGAAUUACUGGGCGUAAAGCGUGCGUAGGUGGUCGUUUAAGUCCGUUGUGAAAGCCCUGGGCUCAACCUGGGAACUGCAGUGGAUACUGGGCGACUAGAGUG
rnacentral:rRNA from 1 species